UAGUGGUAAAGUGACAUUGCCAUUAGUGGUCCCGCCACCAGAGCCAUUGUGUUCCCUGCUUUAUGGCGAAACACUAGAAUCACAUUUUCUAGCGAACACUCAAAAAUACAAUGCCAAUUAUUGGAGACGGAUAAAAUCCGACAUUUAAGAUUCAAGGCCAGAUUUUCCAUCGCAUUGGAUCAUUGCAACCUAUUGUUGGCAAACCAUCAGCAUUAUUUGUUCUUGCACCUGACCAAAAAACAAAGAAUGUUGUUUACCACAAGGUGCUUCAAUGAAAAUCCGAUUAAUAAAUUAAUCAGAGUGUAUCCCAACCUGAACAACAUA